rnacentral:rRNA from 1 species
UACGGGGGGAGCAAGCGUUGUUCGGAUUUACUGGGCGUAAAGGGCGCGUAGGCGGCUGUUCAAGUCGGGGGUGAAAUCCCGUGGCUCAACCACGGAAUGGCCUUCGAUACUGGACGGCUGGAGACCGGAAGAGGUGAGUGGAACUGCGAGUGUAGAGGUGAAAUUCGUAGAUAUUCGCAAGAACACCAGUGGCGAAGGCGGCUCACUGGUCCGGUUCUGACGCUGAGGCGCGAAAGCGUGGGGAGCAAACAGG